rnacentral:lncRNA from 1 species
CUCUGAUGUACCACAUUUACUACAAGUGACUUUACUCCUCUUGAAUUUCCCUUCGUUGAGUCCCUUCUUACGAUCAUUAGUCGGUGGUUUGGCUGGUUAUUUUUUUGUAAUUGAUGGUAUCAUUAUCACUUUCAAAAUAUGUGCUGGAAUAUUUGAUGUUCGCAUCAUAUAUCACUCUUUCAAUAUCGUAAUCAACGUAUCUACCUGUAUUACAAAUAGAAUGGUGAUUUCAAUGUAUCCAAACUUUUUGUAUUCAGAUUGUUUUUGUUUACAUGAAAAUAUUAUCUCAAAUAUGUUGUUUAUGAAUAACUAAAAAAUUAACAAUUACUUCAAUAUAUAUAUAUAUAUAUAUAUAUAUAAAUAAAUACAUCAACUACACUAUCAAAAUAUACCAAAAACUAAAAGAAUGUUGGUGGUAUUAAAAACCUAAUAUAAAAGUUUGAUAUACCAUAUACUUCAAUAUAUAUAUACCAUAAAUAUAUUACACCAAACUCGCACAUUUACACCAUAUACCAUAUACUUCAAUAACAAGUUGAUAAAAUUUACACCAACUAAAUAUAAACCAAAAAAUAUAAAAGAAUGUCGACGUCCCUUUAAAUCAUAAUAUACCAUAUUAUGUCAAAUAAAAUAUUAAUUUCUCCUACUAAUAUACCAAAAUUUAUUCACUUUUUAUGACUUAUGUUGUUUAUGAAAACAUAAUAAGCAAUACCAAUUACACCAAAUCAUCUUCACCUUUCACACUAUCAAUUACACAUAUUAAUCUACCAAUAUUUCUGUAUAAACUGUAUUGUUUAUACACCAACUUAAAAACAUCAUUAUUUUCAGCAACUAAUUUACUAAAACAGAUUCACGAAAUACGAAUUCUAUAAUAAACCACAAAAUCCUACAAAUUAAAUCAAACAAUAAUUACCAAAAAAAUAUCACGAAAUUGGUGAAUACAAACAACGUAAAUUACACGAUCAAUUACACCACUCAAUAUAGACAAAUUCAAUCUACAAAAGUGAUUUUUAAACGUCCUUAAUUCAGAUUGUAACACAAAAAACAUGUAAUCACUAAAAUAAUCACUUAAAAAACACCCAAAUCAAUCGCGAUUUAUCUAAAAUACCUGAUGCGUCUCAUCGUCCGUUGUGUUGAAUUAGGAUUGAAAAUUUGUUAGUAUCCGUGAAUAAACAGUUGACCAGAACGUGUAGAAAGAGAGUUUUAUUUUUGUUAAAAAACCUUUUUUUUAAUGGGAGAGAAUAUAUAACUGAUUUGAGUAAAUCGUGGAAGGUAAAAGAAUUGGAGGAAAUCAGGGAAUCUUAAUAAAUCGUGGCUUGACUUUUUCUGUCUUAUUUUUUUAUAUUAAAUCCUAUUUUUGAAAAAAAACUAUUGUCAUAUAGACGAAAAAAAAACUAUUGCUAUAUAGUAGUAAUUAAGGUACUUAAUUUGUAUACUUAAGUUUUUUACCCUUUUAUAUUCAAUCAAACACAACACAAUCAUCCGGGGUGAACAAGAAUUGGGGAUCGGAUGUGGGCGAAAUUUCCGCCAAUGGCUGAGAUGUUCAGUCGACUCCCUCUCCCUUUGUGGGGGUCCCGACCCCUACGAGUGAGCAGAAAAGGGAGGAGAAAAGAGGCCCUGGUAAACCGUCAUAAUUAGUGAACAAGUGUAAGCUUCGCUGCCCACAACAAGACAAGAAGGUUGGUCAUAGUGAAGUGACAUGGCAUUCGUAUGGGCACGUGUACUUGUCCAGGAUAAGUAUUAAGAGAAUUUAAUAGUAUUUUCUCUGUUGUAUUUAUUUUGGCAUUUUGUUAGUUCUUUUAAAAUAAAAAAAAUGGAGUUUUAUAUUAUUUUUCUGAUAAAUAGGAAAAUUUUAUAAUCACACAAUACGAUAGCAUGAGUUAUGGACUUCAAAUGUCCUAUAAUCAUAUAAAUAUUAAGAUUAAACUUAUAGUCCAACUAUGGCAAACAUGUGAAAUGGAAAGUAGUAUAUGUUAAAACAAAAUUAUUUCAAUAGUGCAACUUUUUGAAAAUAUGAACUUAAAUAGAAGGGUAUAGAGAUCAAGAAUUAAGGUAGAACGUUAGUAGGUAAUUGAAUAUUAUCUAGUUUUAUUUGUCAUUAUUGUUAUAAUUAUUGUUCUCAUAUCAUCUUAUUAUUUAGUUGUAUAAUUACUUAUUAUUUUCUUUGUUUCAAUUAUCGUAUUAUUUGUUGUUGUUAUUGCUCUCUUAUUUUAUUUUUAGCAUGACUUCUUUAACAGUAUAUAUACCCAGUGUAAUUCCAUACAAGUAAGAUUUUGAGAAACAAUAAUGUUGGCAGACCUUACCUCUACCUCAUAGAGAUAGAGAGGUUGUAUAUGAUAAACCCUCUUGGCUCAAAAUAAAACAUUUCCGGACAAUUUGGAAAAAAAGAAUACAUAAAUGAGGACAGUUAUAACAACAAAAUAAUGCGAUAAUUAAAAUUUUAGCAUGACUUCUUGACUAAUAUAUUUCCUUUCAUUAUUUGAUAUUGAUAGGGUUUAUGGUUUACCUAAGCUGAAGAUUUAUCUAAAACAGUUAUCUACCUUCACAAGAUAAGAAUAAAAUUUCGUAGACACCACUAUUUUUGUAUCCUAUUUGUAAUUUAUAGUGUUACAACUGGAUAUGUCAUUGUCGUUGUGUUUUGAUUCUCUAGAUCUAAACAAGCGGUAAAAUGACAUAAAUAAGAAGACAAACAGGAAAAAGUACUUUAAUUAUUCAUUGAAAAGAUUAUAUAUGUACAUGAACCAGAAAAUAAUAAUUGCCGUUCCAGAAACUCAAAUUGAGACAAAAUAAGAACUAUUGAUGAAAAAAUGUCAAUUACAAUAUAAAGUUUAUUAGGAUUUUGUCUCAUAUAUUAUUUACACAGGAACCCAAAUUAAUAUGAAUAUGAGUAUCACAUGGUCUUGAUUAAAUUCAGACUUCACUGGUAGAAAUACACUUAAUAAACUAUCAAGAAUAUUAAGGACAAUUCGGUGCAUUAAGCUCUAGUUAUGUGUGGGAGAAAAUUUUGAUUAAUUAAAUUGAAUAUAUUGUAUACAAUUUUAAUUAACAUUAUAUUUUUGCAAGAGAUUGUUUUCAUGACUAUCAAUUGAAUGUUUGUUUUGAGGCGAAUAUAGUAUUUUGGUACAGUAUCAUCUGAACCUAUUACUUUUGGUACGAUAUAUAAAUUUAUAUGUAGAAAUUUACUAAAAGUACAAUUAAUAACAGAUAUGAACCUAUAACUAUAAUAAUAUAAUGAAAACAAUGUUGAUACUCUUUAAUAUAUUAUUGAAUCAACAAAAUUAUAAAUCUUGAAUCUACCUCUGUUCCAAGUAACAUUUGUUAUUGCCACUAGAGGCGUUUUUUGUUGUGUUAUGUAUAUAGGCCUUGACUAACAAACUUCAUGUUGUCUUUGGGCCAUGAACAAAAUUUUCUUGAGUGAAAUAUUAUGUGAAAUAGUGGUGAUGAACGUUCCACGUGUGCGCCUACGUCAUAAUUGACGUUAUAGAUGAAGGUCCGAGGUUGAGGUUAGCUAAAACAACAUCAUCCUCGUACCUUCAUCGUCGUACUAACUCUAACUUUCUUGCUCAAAUGAAUGUUCCAAAUGAUUUACCAAAUUGUAACCUGAAAAAAACAAUAAACAAAAAAAACAAAAAAAGGUGAGAUUUAAAUUCUAUAUUUUCUAAACUAAACGUACUAACAUGAGGAAAACAUAUUUCUAAUAUCACCUAUAUAUUUUACUUUUAUUGUGUGUUAUCUUUUUUUCAAUAUGUUUGCAUGAAUUUCAAAACUUACAAAUUAUAAGUAUAUAAGCUUAAUAGUUUAGAGGAUUUGUCUAGAUAUCAUUUGCCCUAACUAACAAGCUAGACAUUAAAAAUAAGAAGAUGAAAAGAAAUAACAAUAACACUACAAGAAGAAGUCUAGAAUCUAGAGGCAGAUUCAGAAUAUCUAGUUUAUCAAUUUUUGGUGAUAAUAAUUUUUCUAUGUAUACAUAGUAGAUGAAAUUUUUAUCAUAAACACAUAGUUUGUGCGAUAAAUAUUGAUUCUUGCUAAACCCAUAACUAUAAUAGUGGAUCUGCCCCUACUACAAACAAAGGUUAAUUAGGUUACAAAUUUGAACUUUUGAGGCAACACGAGGGUUAAUUUCACGUAUAGUCACUAACUUCUUACUCAUCAUAACACUAAAAUCACAAUAAAGCUUUUUUUUCGCAUCAAACUAAAUGAAUUUUAGUCGUCAUAACAACAGUAAAGUCAUAAAACUAUUUAAACUAUUUUUUUUAAUCACAAGUAGCUAGUGUGAUUUUAAUUAUCUACAUGAAUCUAACGUUUUGUAUAGUUAGAAACAAUACCAGAAAACUUCGAUAGGGUUCUUUCCUUCUUUUUCUUCUUACUCCAUCUGAUUUAUUGGCACUCAAAAAAAGAGACACAAUAUGAUUAUUGAGAAGAGGCAUAAUGGAAUAUAUCUCUCGGAAUUAGCUACGAACUUCGUCGUUAAAUUGCUGGUAACUAUAUAAAAAUAUUGAUAAUUGUUGCUAAUCCGUCACUAAAUAGGAUUAGUAACGAAUUAUGUUGUUUAGCUACAAAAUUGUAUGUCGCUAAUUUAUAUUUUUAUUUUUGUAGUGUAUAAGAUGAG